GCGCCAGACUCCUACGGGAGGCAGCAGUGAGGAAUAUUGGUCAAUGGCCGGAAGGCUGAACCAGCCAAGCCGCGUGAAGGACGAAGGUGCCAAGCAUUGUAAACUUCUUUUGUCAAGGGACAAAAUCAGGCUCGAGAGCCUGACCGAGGGUACUUGAAGAAAAAGCAUCGGCUAACUCCGUGCCAGCAGCCGCGGUAAUACGGAGGAUGCGAGCGUUAUCCGGAUUUAUUGGGUUUAAAGGGUGCGUAGGGGGGCUGUUAAGUCGGGGGAAAAAGCCGGGGGCCCACCCCGGGCGAGCCGUUGAAACUGGCUGUCUUGAGAUGUCGAGAGGUAUGCGGAAUGCGCAGUGUAGCGGUGAAAUGCAUAGAUAUCACGCAGAACUCCGAUUGCGAAGGCAGCAUACCGGCGCUCAACUGACGCUCAUGCACGAAAGCGUGGGUAUCGAACAGGAUUAGAUACCCCGGUA
rnacentral:rRNA from 1 species